rnacentral:rRNA from 1 species
AGAGUUUGAUCCUGGCUCAGAUUGAACGCUGGCGGCGUGCUUAACACAUGCAAGUCGAGCGGUAACGCGGGAGCAAUCCUGGCGACGAGCGGCGAACGGGUGAGUAAUGCUUCGGAAUCUACCCAAUAGUGGGGAAUAACCUGGGGAAACUCAGGCUAAUACCGCAUACGACUACGGGUGAAAGCAGGGGAUCGCAAGACCUUGCGCUAUCGGAUGAGCCGAAGUCGGAUUAGCUAGUUGGUGGGGUAAAGGCCUACCAAGGCGACGAUCCGUAGCUGGUCUGAGAGGACGACCAGCCACACUGGGACUGAGACACGGCCCAGACUCCUACGGGAGGCAGCAGUGGGGAAUAUUGGACAAUGGGGGCAACCCUGAUCCAGCGACGCCGCGUGUGUGAAGAAGGCCUGCGGGUUGUAAAGCACUUUUAGUGGGGAUGAAAAGCCAAGGGCUAAUACCCUUUGGUCUUGACCUAACCCACAGAAAAAGCACCGGCUAACUCUGUGCCAGCAGCCGCGGUAAUACAGAGGGUGCAAGCGUUAAUCGGAAUUACUGGGCGUAAAGCGUACGUAGGCGGUUAUCUAAGUCGGGUGUGAAAGCCCCGGGCUCAACCUGGGAAUUGCAUUCGAUACUGGAUAGCUAGAGUUCGGCAGAGGGAAGCGGAAUUUCCGGUAGCGGUGAAAUGCGUAGAUAUCGGAAGGAACAUCAGUGGCGAAAGCGGCUUCCUGGACCAGAACUGACGCUCAGGUACGAAAGCGUGGGGAGCAAACAGGAUUAGAUACCCUAGUAGUCC